UGAAAACUUUAACUCUGGGGUGAACACAGGCCAAAAUAACAAACAAAGCAAGCUAUUCCAAAAAGGGAGGUGCUACCUAAACCCUGGGAAAAACAAAAACCAACUCCCUGAUUUAAUAAACAAGAGCAAAAAGUACAGAAAAUAAUAAGGCAGCUUCAGUACAGUGUCUACAACCGACAUACAAAACUUAAUGAUUCUCUAAAGUCACACACGGACGUUUAUCAAAGAUGGUUUGGAAGCCAAGGAUGGUCUGGUGCUGGAGAAGGCUUUUUAAAACAGGCACUUGGCACAGGACACUCGGAACAAAAUCCAAACACCGUGAUCCAAAAUAUGGGCGGGGCCGUAACACUGUCCAACCUGAGGAUGUGGUCCCAGCUAGUGAAUAGAUAGAUAGUCUAUUGAUCCCACAGGGGAAAUUGUCGUGUUACAGCAGCAUGACAAAGAGGAAAAAUGGUCCACUCCACAAUAAACAACAAAUAACACAGUUGGAGUGCCACAGGUGAGGGCCUUCUACUAUGACACAGCACAGGAAUUUAUAUAUUUUUAUAUUUACAACAGCGACACAAACAAAAGUAAGAAUGAAGUCAGAAACAGUAAGAGUCAGACUGACAUUGUGCAAACUGCAUGAAUAAGUCCUGUUUACACUGUACAUGUAAGGUGUAACAGAGACGUGUUUGGGAUGUUGUGUCCUCAGAGUGCGAGUGCCACGCAGACGGCAGCGUGUCUCCUAGAUGCUUGGACUCGGGUCUUUGUCAGUGUAAAGAUGGAGCCACGGGGAGGCGCUGUGACUCCUGUCUACCUGGAUACACCUGGAGAGGAGGCGGGGCCGGCUGCACAGCAAACGUGUGCGACAGUGAGCGUUUGGUCUGUCGGAAUGGAGGAACCUGCGUCGACUUCCUGCGCUGCAUCUGUCCUGAAAACUUCACAGGUUUAUUCUGCGAGCAGAGGGUGUGUCUGAAGAAGAACGGCUGCCUGGAGAACGCUGAGGACUCCGCCUCCUCUCUGGCAUCACACCUUUACCUGCUGACCUUCGGUCUGAUCACCGCCACUUUCUGCUGACCCCGCCCCCAGGCACAAUGUCCCAUAAUGACAUCACCUGGGACGAUGUGAUUGCAACCAAAUGUUUUUCACUGAACUUCAUGUUUUUUUACGUUGUCGUACAGGAUAUUACAUCACAAUCUUAUGACAUCACAUAAGGCCCUGCACCUAAGACGAUCAUCACAUUAUAAUUUUAGGAGAUCAACAACAGGUCACUUUAACCUGACAAAUCAGAGACAGCCGAACUCUGCAGGAAGAGAGCUGCCUCAACCCUACUCUCCCUCCAGCCCGUCUUCUCCACAUCGUCCUCUCCACCCCGUCCUCUGAAUAAUAAAGGUUUAUCUUAUCUCCUUCUCCCCCUCCUCCUGUGCGGUUCAAGGACUCUUUAAUUUGUAUGGAUGAAGCUCUGCAAAAACAUCGUCACCCAUACUGCACUUGGAGCUCUGACUGGUGCAUACGUCUGAAGGUCAAACUGAGUGAAAUCAGCUGAUCAAUACGUUACGUGUCCUCUCUAUAUGUGAUGAAGAUUAUUGACAAAGCCGCUGAUCGCUCGCCCAGCUGCAGCAUUGAUAAAUGGUGAUUCUUUUUGUGGCAACAUUUUAGCUUCAUACCUUUUUUAAAAAUAUAUAUUUAUGUUUUAUAUUCCCAAAGG